rnacentral:misc_RNA from 1 species
ACAAAGUUCGCUUCUCUGAAGCAACUGAUCUCUAACACCUGUGCAUCUUGUCGCUCCGGCGAUAUAUCAAACAUCAGUGUAAAGAAUGUAAUUUAUUAUAACAAAUAC